rnacentral:rRNA from 1 species
UACGGGAGGCAGCAGCUAAGAAUAUUCCGCAAUGGACGAAAGUCUGACGGAGCGACGCCGCGUGGAUGAUGAAGGCCGGAAGGUUGUAAAAUCCUUUUAUGACUGAGGAAUAAGGAAAGUGAGAGAAACGCUUUCUGGUGACUGUAGGUCAUGAAUAAGCAACGGCUAAUUACGUGCCAGCAGCCGCGGUAAU